UAAAUUCAGACUAUACAAAUAGUAGAGAAGUCAGCCUCACGUUUUCAAGUUCCAACUACCAGUAAAACUUCUUCAUUUUUCAACAAAUCUGACUUCUUCAUAUUUCUAGAAAUUCAUCUGCACUUUCUUGAGACCCUUCUUCUUUCUUUUCCUAUUGCUCUCAAAAUUUCUACCAAUCUCUCAAAAAAGUCCUCCUUUUUUGUUGCCUUGUCUUUCCUAUCUCUUUGUAACACAUAUAAAGAAUCUUUGUCCAAGAACCUUUGAGAUAUCAAGUUCAUUUCUUUGUGUCAAUCUCCAAAUAUCCCAGAUGGUGUUGCAACUGUUCUUCACAUUGGCUUUCUCUGCUGUGCCUCUGACUCUCUAUGUUCCUCCUGUUAGAAGCUUGAACCUCUUUUUAGAGGCUGUGGAAGGUUUUCUAAGGGAAUCAAGAAUAUAUACCAAUAGGGUGUACCCAAGAGUUCGUGUGGUUUGGUCUAGGCUUGUGGAUUGUAUGCUUUGCAGCAACAUGAGUGGAAGUAUGGAGAAUUGAUCCCUGUUUCAAGGCAGUACAAAUGAAUUGAGUAUUAUUUCAAAGCAAUAUAAGGAAGAAAAUUUUCUUUUCUUUUAA